rnacentral:rRNA from 1 species
GACCAGACUCCUACGGGAGGCAGCAGUGAGGAAUAUUGGUCAAUGGCCGAGAGGCUGAACCAGCCAAGUCGCGUGAGGGAAGACGGCCCUACGGGUUGUAAACCUCUUUUGUCGGGGAGCAAAGCGAGUCACGUGUGACUCAUUGAGAGUACCCGAAGAAAAAGCAUCGGCUAACUCCGUGCCAGCAGCCGCGGUAAUACGGAGGAUGCGAGCGUUAUCCGGAUUUAUUGGGUUUAAAGGGUGCGCAGGCGGAAUGUCAAGUCAGCGGUAAAAUUUCGGGGCUCAACCCCGUCGUGCCGUUGAAACUGGCGUUCUUGAGUGAGCGAGAAGUAUGCGGAAUGCGUGGUGUAGCGGUGAAAUGCAUAGAUAUCACGCAGAACUCCGAUUGCGAAGGCAGCGUACCGGCGCCCAACUGACGCUCAUGCACGAAAGCGUGGGUAUCGAACAGGAUUAGAUACCCCUGUA